rnacentral:lncRNA from 13 species
CCUGCCUCCCUGCCUGCCUCCCUCUCUCCCUGCCUGCCUGCCUGCCUGCCUCCCUCUCUCCCUGCCUGCCUGCCUCCCUCAGUGUGGUUGGUGUUCUGUCUCUGUUUGCUGUAUAUAAUAUAGCCUUCGAACCACCAGUGUAUUGUCUCUGUCAUCUACUAUCAGCAUUAAGGUUUAAACAUUGAUAUUGUAAAUGUUUAAACGGUUAGAAUACGGUAGUGUUUAAUGGUAAUGUGCUGUGUGAUUUAAGACCCUGGGUCUUUUAUGUGGGAGCUAGUGUCUUUGGGUCUCUCUCUGUCUGACAAGAUGACUCCCAACCAAAGUACCGUGUGUGUGUGUGUUGGCCCACUGGUUCAAAAUAACAAGGGCAGCAGUGCCCCGUGACAGUUUCCCGCCCAAACUCUAAUCAGCCUGCUGAUGCUGGAACACGGAUCCCUCUGUCUCUCACACACACAUUACAGGGACUAAGUGAAUCAGGGGCACCAUGUCUUUCUCCCCCUCCUUCUAUCAGCCCAUCUCCUCUUUAACCAUCUACAUGAUCUCUGUCUCUAUCAGCCCAUCUCCUCUUUAACCAUCUACAUGAUCUCUGUCUCUAUCAGCCCAUCUCCUCUUUAACCAUCUACAUGAUCUCUCUCUAUCAGCCCAUCUCAUCCCUCCUUCUGUCUGUACAUCUCCUCUUUAUCCAUCUACAUGAUCUCUGUCUCUAUCAGCCCAUCUCAUCCCUCGUUCUUCUAUCUGUACAUCUCCUCUUUAACCAUCUACAUGAUCUCUGUCUCUAUCAGCCCAUCUCAUCCCUCCUUCUGUCUGUACAUCUCCUCUUUAUCCAUCUACAUGAUCUCUGUCUCUAUCAG